UGCUGCAUGGCUGUCGUCAGCUCGUGUCGUGAGAGUGUUGGGUUAAGUCCGUAACGAGCGCAACCCUUGUCCUUAGUUACCAGCACGUUAUGGUGGGCACUCUAAGGAGACUGCCGGUGACAAACCGGAGGAAGGUGGGGAUGACGUCAAGUCAUCAUGGCCCUUACGGCCUGGGCUACACACGUGCUACAAUGGUCGGUACAAAGGGUUGCCAAGCCGCGAGGUGGAGCUAAUCCCAUAAAACCGAUCGUAGUCCGGAUCGCAGUCUGCAACUCGACUGCGUGAAGUCGGAAUCGCUAGUAAUCGUGAAUCAGAAUGUCACGGUGAAUACGUUCCCGGGCCUU
rnacentral:rRNA from 1 species